rnacentral:rRNA from 1 species
GGUGGGAGGCUUGGAAGUGUGGACGCCAGUCUGCAUGGAGCCGACCUUGAAAUACCACCCUUUAAUGUUUGAUGUUCUAACGUUGACCCGUAAUCCGGGUUGCGGACAGUGUCUGGUGGGUAGUUUGACUGGGGCGGUCUCCUCCUAAAGAGUAACGGAGGAGCACGAAGGUUGGCUAAUCCUGGUCGGACAUCAGGAGGUUAGUGCAAUGGCAUAAGCCAGCUUGACUGCGAGCGUGACGGCGCGAGCAGGUGCGAAAGCAGGUCAUAGUGAUCCGGUGGUUCUGAAUGGAAGGGCCAUCGCUCAACGGAUAAAAGGUACUCCGGGGAUAACAGGCUGAUACCGCCCAAGAGUUCAUAUCGACGGCGGUGUUUGGCACCUCGAUGUCGGCUCAUCACAUCCUGGGGCUGAAGUAGGUCCCAAGGGUAUGGCUGUUCGCCAUUUAAAGUGGUACGCGAGCUGGGUUUAGAACGUCGUGAGACAGUUCGGUCCCUAUCUGCCGUGGGCGCUGGAGAACUGAGGGGGGCUGCUCCUAGUACGAGAGGACCGGAGUGGACGCAUCACUGGUGUUCGGGUUGUCAUGCCAAUGGCACUGCCCGGUAGCUAAAUGCGGAAGAGAUAAGUGCUGAAAGCAUCUAAGCACGAAACUUGCC